GUUUCCCAGUCACGAUAGCGGCAGUGACUCUCAGAGAAAAGUGGCGAAAGGGGCAGUAAUGCAUGGGUAACCUACCUUAAGGUUCGGGAUAGCCAUUCUAACGGAUGGGUAACACUGGACGGUCUGAGUUGUCGGCAUCGAUAGCUCAGUAAAUGUGAAGCCUUAUGAGGGGCCCAUGUGAUAUUAGCUAGUUGGUGAGGUAAUGGCUCACCAAGGCGAAGAUGUCUAGCGGGUGUGAGAGCACGACCCGCGUCACUGGCACUGAGACACUGGCCAGACUCCUACGGGAGGCUGCAGUCGAGGAUCUUCGGCAAUGGACGCAAGUCUGACCGAGCGACGCCGCGUGUGCGAUGAAGGCCUUCGGGUUGUAAAGCACUGUCGAGAGGGAACAAGCCGCAAGGUUGAGUGACCUCUGGAGGAAGGACGGGCUAAGUUCGUGCCAGCAGCCGCGGUAAGACGAACCGUCCAAACGUUAUUCGGAAUCACUGGGCUUAAAGGGCGCGUAGGCGGGCGAUCAAGUCAGGGGUGAAAUCCUCCAGCUCAACUGGAGAAGUGCCUUUGAUACUGGUUGUCUAGAGUGAGGUAGGGGCAUGUGGAACUUCCAGUGGAGCGGUGAAAUGCGUAGAUAUUGGAAGGAACACCAGUGGCGAAAGCGAUGUGCUGGAUCUCAACUGACGCUGAGGCGCGAAAGCUAGGGGAUCAAACGGGAUUAGAUACCCCGGUAGUCCUAGCCCUAAACUUUGGGUACUAGAUUGUGGACUAACAUGGGUUCACAGUCGAAGCAAAAGUGUUAAGUACCCCGCCUGGGGAGUAUGGUCGCAAGGCUGAAACUCAAAGGAAUUGACGGGGGCUCACACAAGCGGUGGAGCAUGUGGCCGCAUAUCGUGACUGGGAAAAC
rnacentral:rRNA from 1 species